rnacentral:rRNA from 1 species
GACGAACGCUGGCGGCGUGCCUAAUACAUGCAAGUCGAACGAACAGACGAGGAGCUUGCUCCUCUGACGUUAUCGGCUGACGGGUGAGUAACACGUGCAUAACCUACCUAUAUUACGGGGAUAACUACGAGAAACCGGCGCUAAUACCGGAUAAUAUAUUUAACCGCAUGGUUCAAUAGUGAAAGACGGUGUUGCUGUCUCUUAUAGAUGUAUCCGCGCCGCAUUGGCUAGUUGGUAAUGUAACGGCUUACCAAGGCGACGAUGCGUAGCCGACCUGGGAGGGGAAUCGGCCACACUGGAACGGAACACCGGUCAGACCUCCUAGGGGAGGAACCAGUAGGGAACCUUCCGAAAUGGGGGAAAGCCUGCCGGGGAAACGCGGGGUGGGGGAUAAAGGUCUCCGGAUCGAAAACCCCUGUUAUUAGGGAAAAACAAAUGUGUAAGUAAAUAUGCACGUAUUGACGGUACCUAAUAAGAAAGCCACGGCUAACUACGUG